rnacentral:rRNA from 1 species
AGGAUGAACGCUAGCGACGAGGCUUAACACAUGCAAGUCGAGGGGCAGUCACGGGAGUAGCAAUACAACUGGUGGCGACCGGCGCGACGGGUGAGUAACGCGUAUGCAACCUACCUAUCAGAGGGGAAUAACCCGGCGAAAGUCGGACUAAUACCGCAUAAAACAGGGGCACCGCAUGGUGAUAUUUGUUAAAGAAAUUCGCUGAUAGAUGGGCAUGCGUUCCAUUAGGUAGUUGGUGAGGUAACGGCUCACCAAGCCGACGAUGGAUAGGGGAACUGAGAGGUUGGUCCCCCACACUGGUACUGAGACACGGACCAGACUCCUACGGGAGGCAGCAGUGAGGAAUAUUGGUCAAUGGGCGGGAGCCUGAACCAGCCAAGUCGCGUGAAGGAAAGAAGGAUCUAUGGUUCGUAAACUUCUUUGCGAGGGAAUAAAGUGCAGGACGUGUCCUGUUUUGUAUGUACCCUGAGAAUAAGGAUCGGCUAACUCCGUGCCAGCAGCAGC